AUUGAACGCUGGCGGCAUGCCUUACACAUGCAAGUCGAACGGCAGCACGGGUGCUUGCACCUGGUGGCGAGUGGCGAACGGGUGAGUAAUACAUCGGAACAUGUCCUGUAGUGGGGGAUAGCCCGGCGAAAGCCAGAUUAAUACCGCAUACGAUCUACGGAUGAAAGCGGGGGACCUUCGGGCCUCGCGCUAUAGGGUUGGCCGAUGGCUGAUUAGCUAGUUGGUGGGGUAAAGGCCUACCAAGGCGACGAUCAGUAGCUGGUCUGAGAGGACGACCAGCCACACUGGGACUGAGACACGGCCCAGACUCCUACGGGAGGCAGCAGUGGGGAAUUUUGGACAAUGGGCGAAAGCCUGGUCCAGCAAUGCCGCGUGUGUGAAGAAGGCCUUCGGGUUGUAAAGCACUUUUGUCCGGAAAGAAAUCCUUGGCCCUAAUACGGUCGGGGGAUGACGGUACCGGAAGAAUAAGCACCGGCUAACUACGUG
rnacentral:rRNA from 1 species